ACUUGCGGUCACACUACCCUGAGAACGCCCAAUGUCUUCUGAUCUCGGAAGCUAAGCAGGGUUUGGCCUGGUUAGUACUUGAAUGGGAGACCACCUGGGAUUACCAGGUGCUGUAAGCU
ensembl:rRNA 5S_rRNA 5S ribosomal RNA